rnacentral:rRNA from 1 species
GACGAACGCUGGCGGCGUGCUUAACACAUGCCAGUCGAACGGAAAGGCCCUGCUUUUGUGGGGUGCUCGAGUGGCGAACGGGUGAGUAACACGUGAGUAACCUGCCCUUGACUUUGGGAUAACUUCAGGAAACUGGGGCUAAUACCGGAUAGGAGCUCCUGCUGCAUGGUGGGGGUUGGAAAGUUUCGGCGGUUGGGGAUGGACUCGCGGCUUAUCAGCUUGUUGGUGGGGUAGUGGCUUACCAAGGCUUUGACGGGUAGCCGGCCUGAGAGGGUGACCGGCCACAUUGGGACUGAGAUACGGCCCAGACUCCUACGGGAGGCAGCAGUGGGGAAUAUUGCACAAUGGGCGGAAGCCUGAUGCAGCAACGCCGCGUGCGGGAUGACGGCCUUCGGGUGGUAAACCGCUUUCGCCUGUGACGAAGCGUGAGUGACGGUAAUGGGUAAAGAAGCACCGGCUAACUACGUG